rnacentral:rRNA from 1 species
GAUGAACGCUGGCGGCGUGCCUAAUACAUGCAAGUCGAGCGAACAGAUGAGGAGCUUGCUCCUCUGACGUUAGCGGCGGACGGGUGAGUAACACGUGGAUAACCUACCUAUAAGACUGGGAUAACUUCGGGAAACCGGAGCUAAUACCGGAUAAUAUAUUGAACCGCAUGGUUCAAUAGUGAAAGACGGUUUUGCUGUCACUUAUAGAUGGAUCCGCGCCGCAUUAGCUAGUUGGUAAGGUAACGGCUUACCAAGGCGACGAUGCGUAGCCGACCUGAGAGGGUGAUCGGCCACACUGGAACUGAGACACGGUCCAGACUCCUACGGGAGGCAGCAGUAGGGAAUCUUACGCAAUGGGCGAAAGCUUGACGGAGCAACGCCGCGUGAGUGAUGAAGGUCUUCGGAUCGUAAAACUCUGUUAUUAGGGAAGAACAAAUGUGUAAGUAACUAUGCACGUCUUGACGGUACCUAAUCAGAAAGCCACGGCUAACUACGUG